rnacentral:lncRNA from 1 species
UGGCCUCUUUCUUUUUUCUGUUGCAAAAGGUAAAAAAACAGCAGGGGGUUCGAGCAUGUGCGCGCGACGCGAAAGAAGCCCCCGAUCUAACGCCUGUGGCAGGUGGCGCUGCACAAAACUUAAAGAAAAACGCCAGCAGGACAAGACGGCGGCAAAAAAAAGAAGACGAGCGUCAAGAAAACAUCUGGCGGUAGAGCAUGGACGCCGUCACCGUCAGCGAGGGUGCCAUGUAGGCGCGCGCGAUGCCGUCGGCGGCGACCAAAGGCGCGAUCCGCGCCACCAUGUCGCGGUCCAUGACGACGCCCGAAUCGGCACACGCCACGGCGAGAGCAGUGACAAAGGCGCCCAGGUCGCUGCCGCCGCGCCCGGCCGAAACCGCGCUUGUCACACGCGCGCAAAACAUCGCAUAGGUCGUCGCGCGCUCUGAGCGCAAACCCCGCGACGCGCCCGAACAAUAGAUGCACGUGGCCAACAGAUCCGGCGGGUCGACCCCCAUGGCAACACGCACGAGCAGCACCAUCAUCCGACGCUGCACGCUAUCGAUCUCGUGCACGAUGCCCAUGUCCAAGAGCGCCAAACGUAUGCGACUGUCGGGCGCCUCGGGUCGCGGGUCGUCGAUGGCCAGCACGUUGCCCUCGUGCACGUCACCGUGCACGAGACCAAACUCAAAGACCAUGCGACAAACGGCGCGCGCCAAGAGGUGCGCCGCAGACGAUCGCGCCGCUGCCGUGCCAAGCUGUCGGAUGGGCACACCGGCGACGCGCUCCAUUGCCAGGCAGUCGUCCGUGCAGAGAGCGUCCACGGUGGCCGGCACGAAUACGGUACGCGCAGGGUCGUCGGCAAACAGUGAUUGCAUGCGUCGGGUAUGGGCGGCCUCGCCGGCAAAGUCAAUGUGGCGCGCGAGGCCGUCGUCAGCAAUGGCCACAAGGUGGUCUAGUGCGUCGGCGACCAACGCCCGUCGGCACACGCGCGCCACGAGAGCGCGACCCAAUAACGAGCGCAGAAACCAAGCCAGUAUGGCGCGGUCGGCUGCCGCGCGUCGCACGGCGCUCGGGCGUCGCACCUUGAGGACGAGGUCGCCUUCUUUUUUGUCGCUUGGGCGACAAUCAUUCUCAUCGUCGUUGGGGUCAGUGCGCCCGUCGAUGAACGUGACGCCAGGCGAUCUCGCAAAUGACGUAUGGCCUGUGCGCUUGGUCUUACAGGCAUACACCUGGGCGACCGACCCGCUGGCCAAGAGUCGCGCUCCGUCCGGCAGGUCGUGGAUUGGCUCGGGCGGGACGUCAUCUUGAAGGGAUCGCAGUGCGUCGAUGAGACCCGGCGCAAAGAGAUCAGGACGCGCGGUCGCUGCCUGGGCCAACUUGAUGGCCAGAGGCCCCAUGGCGGCCACUGCGCGGCUCGCCUUGCACACCCCCAACCACACGGCCGCGGCGUAAAGCGAUGCCUUCCACGCCAGACUCAGCGCCCUCCACGCCGUUGAAGCCCCCGCAUAAGCACGACGCCAAUCGCCGACGACGACAGCCAUCCUUUGCGCUGCUGCGCUUUGCGAAUCGGCGAUGGUGUCUGCUCCUUGCCUUGCCUCUCUUUUUACUUGUCUGGGCGCGACAACCGUAUGCCUCGACGGCGGCACCGGGCAGCCCUCCUUUUUUUCCCGCCCUCGCACUUUUGGCGUACCCUGUGUGCGCGCGUACGUCAACCGGCAAAAAAGGGCAAAGAAAAAGAUCGCCGUCGGGGACACGGGUGUUUGUGACGUUGCGUCUUGAAGCCUUUCCAAUGUCUUUUUUUUCCAGUGCGCGUGUCCUCGCCUCGUGCGACAAAGAGAGGGCAUGGACAACGUGGCACAGAGAGAGAACCC